CCUACGGGGGGCUGCAGUGGGGAAUAUUGGACAAUGGGGGGAACCCAGAUCCAGCCAUGCCGCGUGUGUGAAGAAGGCCCUCGGGUUGUAAAGCACUUUCAGUGAGGAAGAACGCCUGGUGGUUAAUACCCAUCAGGAAAGACAUCACUCACAGAAGAAGCACCGGCUAACUCCGUGCCAGCAGCCGCGGUAAUACGGAGGGUGCGAGCGUUAAUCGGAAUUACUGGGCGUAAAGCGCGCGUAGGUGGCUUGAUAAGCCGGUUGUGAAAGCCCCGGGCUCAACCUGGGAACGGCAUCCGGAACUGUCAAGCUAGAGUGCAGGAGAGGAAGGUAGAAUUCCCGGUGUAGCGGUGAAAUGCGUAGAGAUCGGGAGGAAUACCAGUGGCGAAGGCGGCCUUCUGGACUGACACUGACACUGAGGUGCGAAAGCGUGGGUAGCAAACAGGAUUAGAUACCCUGGUAGUC
rnacentral:rRNA from 1 species